AUAAUGUUGUAGGUAUAACAAACCAUACCAAAUUUUAAAUAUUAUACACAACGCAAUGAAAAAAAUCAAAAAAUUUAUCUCUGAAGCCAAAAUGAAACAUAAUAAUUUAAAAAAGCUGUUAUAGGAUAAUGGGACAGCCACUAUGAAAGUAGUUGGGAAAUUGGGAAGGUAGGAUAUAGAAGAGAAUUUAAUGUCUAUCUAUAAGCAAAGAACCAUUGCUAACGAAAAAACUAUUAUAAGCGGAAUCUAGUUGAUAGUGAUGCUUUGUUAACAAUACACAUGUCAUAUUAUGAUAAAAUAAUUAAACAAGCAUUUUAUAUUUUCUUUAGUAAUAUUUGUUUAAUAUUGAUUCGUUUUACCCGGGUUUUUCAUAUUCGUUUUUUCAUAAUCGAAAAAUGACCUUUUUAAAGUACCUUCCCUGUCAGAUUUCUUUCAGAAAAUGGUAUACACUUAAAAAUCGGAUUAAGAUCUUUGGUCGAAAAUUCGUUCACAGAAAAAAAAAAAAAACAUCUUUAUAAAACCAAUAAACUCAGAAUCUAAAACGAGAAAAUCGGUACAAUAUCAAAUAAAUAUUAUUAAAGAAAAUACGUAAUGCAUAUUAUGUAAUUAUUUUAUUGUAAUAUGACAUAUAUGGUAUAUUGUUGACAAGCAUCACUAUUAACUGAACUCCGCUCUGAAUCGUAUUUCUGUUAGAAAUGCUUUAUCGUUGCUUAAAGAUAUGCAUUAAAUUUCCACUCUAUUACCUUACACAACUUUUGCCUACACAGCUGAUUAUUAUUAACUAGAUCUAUCGGAAACAAAAUUUAAUGACCACAGCACCAUCAAAAAAAUAAUUAUUUAUUAUUAUUUACAAUUUAUAUAUUAUUAAAUACGAUUUUUUCUUUUUUGUUAAAGAUUUAAAUAUUGUUAUUCCAGAAUUCAGCACAAUAUCUACA